UGUUAUCGCUGGAAGACUGGAAACUUGUCCGCCAUAUUGUCGAAACACCUUCACGUGGUAAGGGAGUAAAACAUUUAGCAUGGUUCGGCCAAAAAAACAGAGCAAGAGGAUGACAGCUCACAAGCGAUACAAAAUACAGCGAAAGGUUAGGGAACAUCUUCGAAAACAAAGGAAGGAGGCCAAACUUAAUGGAAAAUCAAAAA